ensembl:snRNA U6 U6 spliceosomal RNA
GUGCUCUCUUUGGCAGCACAUAUAUUAAAAUUGGAACAAUAAAGAGAAGAUUAGCAUGGCCCCUGUGCAAGGAUGACAUGCAAAUCUGUGAAACAUAUAUUUUU